AUGCCCCACCUCCCUCUUCUUUCCUCGCCUCUCCCUUUUUUUUCCAACCGUGCCGCCAGAGUGCCGCAUCGCUAGACCUAUGCUCCUGCCUCCCCUUUCUUCCCCAGCCAUUCUGUGGAGCACCGUACCGUCGAACCUACAUCUUAGUCAGAUUGAGCAGUCUUUUUUCCUAUCUGGUGAGUAUUAGCGACCGUGAUGAUGAUAGAGCCAUCACCACGUGUCAUUCCCUCCUAUUUAGAUCUUUAAUAUUUCAAUUUAGAUUUAUCAUAUUUAUUUAAAUUAAUAAUAUUCAAAUUUAAUUUGUGCACGAAAAGUAUAUUUUCGAUCAUCGACAA
rnacentral:lncRNA from 1 species